GUAGUCUCGCACAGAUGCAUAUCAAUAAGCGGAGGAAAAGAAACUAACAAGGAUUCCCCUAGUAACGGCGAGUGAAGCGGGAAGAGCUCAAAUUUGAAAUCUUAAAGGGUUUCCCUUUACGAAUUGUAGUUUAAAGAAGUGUUUUCUGUUGAGGUUUUGGUAAAAGUUCUUUGGAAUAGGACAUCAUAGAGGGUGAGAAUCCCGUAUUUGACCUUUACUUUCAACUUUGUGAUACACUUUCAAAGAGUCGGAUUGUUUGGGAAUGCAGUCCAAAAUGGGUGGUAAAUUUCAUCUAAAGCUAAAUAUUGGCGAGAGACCGAUAGCGAACAAGUACCGUGAGGGAAAGAUGAAAAGAACUUUGAAAAGAGAGUUAAACAGUACGUGAAAUUGUCAAAAGGGAAGCGUUUGACACCAGUGUUGUUUUUCUGAAAAUCAAUUAAAGAACUGUUUAUGCUAAGCUGUUUAGACUUUAUCAGCUAUCUGUUUAGUUUUGAGCUUUUCUUUAAUGCACUUUUCAGUUAACAAGUCAACAUCAAUUUCUUUUGCUGUAAAAAAGCUUGAGGAAGGUGGCUUGAGAUUCGUCUUAAGUGUUUAUAGCCUCUUGCCUAUGCAGUCGGAGAGAUUGAGGUCUGCAGCGUAGAUCCUUCGGGGCUAAAUGCAUUUGUGCUAAGUUAUAGCAUUUUAUAGACAACUUGUUGACUAUGAUUUGUCUUGUAGCUUACUCGCUUAUGUUAUUUUACCUACGCUUAGGAUGUUGAGCGCAUGUCUCUCUCU
rnacentral:rRNA from 1 species